rnacentral:rRNA from 1 species
GGUUCGAUCAUGGCUCAGAUUGAACGCUGGCGGGAUGCUUUACACAUGCAAGUCGAACGGCAGCACGGACUUCGGUCUGGUGGCGAGCAUGAACGGGUGAGCAAUGUAUCGAACGUGCCUAGUAGCGGGGAUAACUACGCGAAAGGUAGCUAAUACCGCAUACCGGCCCUUCGGGGAAAGCGGGGACCUUCGCCCUGCACUAUUAGAGCGGCCGAUAUCGGAUUAGCUAGUUGGUGGGCAAUGCUCACCAGAACACGAUCCGUAGCUGGUUUGAGAGGACGACCAGCCACACUGGGACUGAGACACGGCCCAGACUCCUACGGGAGGCAGCAGCAGUGGGGAAUUUUGACAAUGGGGAAACCCUGAUCCAGCCAUCCCGCGUGUGCGAUGAAGGCCUUCGGGUUGUAAAGCACUUUUGGCAGGAAAGAAACGGCACGGGAUAAUACCCCGUGCAACUGACGGUACCUGCAGAAUAAGCACCGGCUAACUACGUGCCAGCAGCCGCGGUAAUACGUAGGUGCAAGCGUUAAUCGGAAUUACUGGGCGUAAAGCGUGCGCAGGCGGUUGGAAAGAAAGAUGUGAAAUCCCAGAGCUUAACUUUGGAACUGCAUUUUUAACUAACAAGAUUAGAUGUGCCAGAGGAGGUGGAAUUCCGCGUGUAGCAGGGAAAUGCGCAGGAUAUGCGGAGGAACACCGAUGGCGAAGGCAGCUCGGGAUAAUACUGACGUCGAUAAAAAUGAAAGCGUGAUAAACAGGAUUACACCCUGGUGAAUCGCUACGCCCAAACGAUGUCAACUACAGAGUCAACAGAGAAGUGACCGGCAGAAGUUGACCGCCUGGGGAGUACUGGUCGCAAGAUUAAACCCCGGGAAUUGAUUAAUCAUACAAGCGGUGGAUGAUAAAGAUUACCCGAUGCAACAGCUGAAAACCUUACCUACCCUGACAUGUCUGGAAUCCCGAAGAGAUUUGGGGAGUGCCUGUGUGAACCGGAACACAGGUGUUGCAUGGCUGUCGUCAGCUCGUGUCGUGAGAUGUUGGGUUAAGCCCGCAACGAGCGCAACCCCGCCAUUAGUUGCUGCACGAAAGGGCACUCUAUCGAGAUCAAGCUGGCAAGAGCAGUCCUGAGGAAGGUGGGGAUGACGUCAAGUCCUCAUGGCCCUUAUGGGUAGGGCUUCACACGUCAUACAAUGGUCGGGACAGAGGGUCGCCAAACCGGGCGAGGGGAGCCAAUCCCAGAAACCCGAUCGUAGUCCGAUCGCAGUCUGCAACUCGACUGCGUGAAGUCGGAAUCGCUAGUAAUCGCGGAUCAGCAUGUCGCGGGGUGAAUACGUUCCCGGGUCUUGUACACACCGCCCGUCACACCAUGGGAGUGAUGACGAGAAAGAAGAAGCAUCAACCGUAAGGAGGGCGAUUACCACGGUAGGAUUCAUGACUGGGGUGAAGUCGUAACAAGGUAG